AGCGAACGCUGGCGGCAGGCCUAACACAUGCAAGUCGAACGAAGUCUUCGGACUUAGUGGCGGACGGGUGAGUAACACGUGGGAACGUGCCUUUAGGUUCGGAAUAACUCAGGGAAACUUGUGCUAAUACCGAAUGUGCCCUUCGGGGGAAAGAUUUAUCACCUUUAGAGCGGCCCGCGUCUGAUUAGCUAGUUGGUGAGGUAAAGGCUCACCAAGGCGACGAUCAGUAGCUGGUCUGAGAGGAUGAUCAGCCACAUUGGGACUGAGACACGGCCCAAACUCCUACGGGAGGCAGCAGUGGGGAAUCUUGCGCAAUGGGCGAAAGCCUGACGCAGCCAUGCCGCGUGAAUGAUGAAGGUCUUAGGAUUGUAAAAUUCUUUCACCGGGGACGAUAAUGACGGUACCCGGAGAAGAAGCCCCGGCUAACUUCGUGCCAGCCGCCGCUGUAAGAC
rnacentral:rRNA from 1 species